AACGAACGCUGGCGGCGCGCCUAAUACAUGCAAGUCGAGCGAGAAGACGUAGCAAUACGUUUGUAAAGCGGCGAACGGGUGAGGAAUACAUGGGUAACCUACCCUAGAGUGGGGAAUAACUAGCCGAAAGGUUAGCUAAUACCGCGUACGCUCCUUGGACUUCGGUUCAGGGAGGAAAGCGAUACCGAGGGUAUCGCGCUCUUGGAUGGGCUCAUGUCCUAUCAGCUUGUUGGUGAGGAACGGCUCACCAAGGCUUCGACGGGUAGCUGGUCUGAGAGGACGAUCAGCCACACUGGCACUGCGACACGGGCCAGACUCCUACGGGAGGCAGCAGUAAGGAAUAUUGCGCAAUGGGCGAAAGCCUGACGCAGCGACGCCGCGUGGGGGAUGAAGGUCUUCGGAUUGUAAACCCCUUUCGGGAGGGAAGAUGGAACGAGCAAUCGUUCGGACGGUACCUCCAGAAGCAGCCACGGCUAACUUCGU
rnacentral:rRNA from 1 species